rnacentral:sRNA from 1 species
GAAACUCAGAAAAUAUCAUUCCAACGCCUUCACCCGUUACAUACAAAUCCUCAUGCCUCGAGUUAAAUAUUCAAACCAGCACAGUCCAAUGGUGGCCUUCUGCCCCGCUUUACUAUCUGGGCCCGCGAUUUCUGCUAAGGAUUGAGCGUAAAGAGUGGACGCCUAUUAUUCCGUAUAUUGACAAGUCGGUCGACAUGAUAUGGAUAUGUUGUUUUGUGAGCGAAGCGUGACUAUAGCAGGGGAUCUGCUGCUGCUCGCGGUAGUCCAUGGUGUGGCGUGAUUUUCUUCAUCUUCUUGUUGGACCGCACCCGCAGCUUAUAAAAGAGUAUAAUAUAUGUUGCUUGCUUAGUUACAAAGAUGGUAUCACAUAUCUUAU